AUUGAACGCUGGCGGCAUGCCUUACACAUGCAAGUCGAACGGUAACAGGUCUUCGGAUGCUGACGAUUGGCGAACAGGGGAGUAAUACAUCUGAACGUGCGCGUGAGUGUGGGAUAACGAAGCGAAAGCUUUGCGAAUACCGCACACGAUCCCAGGAUGAAAGCAGGGGACCGCAAUGCCUUGCGCUCACUGAGCGGCCGAAGGCAGAUUAGGUAGGUGGUGGGAUAAAAGCUUACCAAGCCGACGAUCUGUAGCUGGUCUGAGAGGACGACCAGCCACACUGGGACUGAGACACGGCCCAGACUCCUACGGGAGGCAGCAGUGGGGAAUUUUGGACAAUGGGCGCAAGCCUGAUCCAGCCAUGCCGCGUGCAGGAUGAAGGCCUUCGGGUUGUAAACUGCUUUUGUACGGAACGAAAAGACUCCUUCUAAUAAAGGGGGUCCAUGACGGUACCGUAAGAAUAAGCACCGGCUAACUACGUGCCAGCAGCCGCGGUAACAC
rnacentral:rRNA from 1 species